rnacentral:rRNA from 1 species
AUAAGCAAUUAUACAGCGAAACUGCGAAUGGCUCAUUAUAUAAGUUAUCGUUUAUUUGAUAGUACCUUACUACUUGGAUAACCGUGGUAAUUCUAGAGCUAAUACAUGCUGAAAAUCCCGACUCCGGAAGGGAUGUAUUUAUUAGAUUCAAAACCAAUGCCCCCCUGGGCUCCCUGGUGAUUCAUGAUAACUCCUCGAAUCGCACGGCCUUGAGCCGGCGAUGGUUCAUUCAAAUUUCUUCCCUAUCAACUUUCGAUGUUUGGGUAGUGGCCAAACAUGGUUGCAACGGGUAACGGAGGGUUAGGGCUCGACCCCGGAGAAGGAGCCUGAGAAACGGCUACUACAUCCAAGGAAGGCAGCAGGCGCGCAAAUUACCCAAUCCCGACACGGGGAGGUAGUGACAAUAAAUACUGAUACAGGGCUCUUUUGGGUCUUGUAAUUGGAAUGAGUACAAUUUAAAUCCCUUAACGAGGAACAAUUGGAGGGCAAGUCUGGUGCCAGCAGCCGCGGUAAUUCCAGCUCCAAUAGCGUAUAUUAAAGUUGUUGUGGUUAAAAAGCUCGUAGUUGAACCUUGGGCCUGGCUGGCCGGUCCGCCUCACCGCGUGCACUGGUCCGGCCGGGCCUUUCCCUCUGUGGAACCCCAUGCCCUUCGCUGGGCGUGGCGGGGAAACAGGACUUUUACUUUGAAAAAAUUAGAGUGCUCCAGGCAGGCCUAUGCUCGAAUACAUUAGCAUGGAAUAAUGAAAUAGGACGCGCGGUUCUAUUUUGUUGGUUUCUAGGACCGCCGUAAUGAUUAAUAGGGACAGUCGGGGGCAUCAGUAUUCAAUAGUCAGAGGUGAAAUUCUUGGAUCUAUUGAAGACUAACUACUGCGAAAGCAUUUGUCAAGGAUGUUUUCAUUAAUCAGGAACGAAAGUUAGGGGAUCGAAGACGAUCAGAUACCGUCGUAGUCUUAACCAUAAACUAUGCCGA